rnacentral:rRNA from 1 species
UACGAGGGGGGGCAAAUGUUGUUCGGAAUUACUGGGCGUAAAGGGCUCGUAGGCGGCCAACUAAGUCGGACGUGAAAUCCCCUCGGCUCAACCGGGGAACUGCGUCCGAUACUGGAUGGCUUGAAUCCGGGGAGAGGGAUGCGGAAUUCCAGGUGUAGCGGUGAAAUGCGUAGAUAUCUGGAGGAACACCGGUGGCGAAGGCGGCAUCCUGGACCGGCAUUGACGCUGAGGAGCGAAAGCCAGGGGAGCAAAGCGGGU